CUUAUAGAUGGAUCCGCGCUGCAUUAGCUAGUUGGUAAGGUAACGGCUUACCAAGGCAACGAUGCAUAGCCGACCUGAGAGGGUGAUCGGCCACACUGGAACUGAGACACGGUCCAGACUCCUACGGGAGGCAGCAGUAGGGAAUCUUCCGCAAUGGGCGAAAGCCUGACGGAGCAACGCCGCGUGAGUGAUGAAGGUCUUCGGAUCGUAAAACUCUGUUAUUAGGGAAGAACAUAUGUGUAAGUAACUGUGCACAUCUUGACGGUACCUAAUCAGAAAGCCACGGCUAACUACGUGCCAGCAGCCGCGGUAAUACGUAGGUGGCAAGCGUUAUCCGGAAUUAUUGGGCGUAAAGCGCGCGUAGGCGGUUUUUUAAGUCUGAUGUGAAAGCCCACGGCUCAACCGUGGAGGGUCAUUGGAAACUGGAAAACUUGAGUGCAGAAGAGGAAAGUGGAAUUCCAUGUGUAGCGGUGAAAUGCGCAGAGAUAUGGAGGAACACCAGUGGCGAAGGCGACUUUCUGGUCUGUAACUGACGCUGAUGUGCGAAAGCGUGGGGAUCAAACAGGAUUAGAUACCCUGGUAGUCCACGCCGUAAACGAUGAGUGCUAAGUGUUAGGGGGUUUCCGCCCCUUAGUGCUGCAGCUAACGCAUUAAGCACUCCGCCUGGGGAGUACGACCGCAAGGUUGAAACUCAAAGGAAUUGACGGGGACCCGCACAAGCGGUGGAGCAUGUGGUUUAAUUCGAAGCAACGCGAAGAACCUUACCAAAUCUUGACAUCCUUUGACAACUCUAGAGAUAGAGCCUUCCCCUUCGGGGGACAAAGUGACAGGUGGUGCAUGGUUGUCGUCAGCUCGUGUCGUGAGAUGUUGGGUUAAGUCCCGCAACGAGCGCAACCCUUAAGCUUAGUUGCCAUCAUUAAGUUGGGCACUCUAAGUUGACUGCCGGUGACAAACCGGAGGAAGGUGGGGAUGACGUCAAAUCAUCAUGCCCCUUAUGAUUUGGGCUACACACGUGCUACAAUGGACAAUACAAAGGGCAGCGAAACCGCGAGGUCAAGCAAAUCCCAUAAAGUUGUUCUCAGUUCGGAUUGUAGUCUGCAACUCGACUACAUGAAGCUGGAAUCGCUAGUAAUCGUAGAUCAGCAUGCUACGGUGAAUACGUUCCCGGGUCUUGUACACACCGCCCGUCACACCACGAGAGUUUGUAACACCCGAAGCCGGUGGAGUAACCUUUUAGGAGCUAGCCGUCGAAGGUGGGACAAAUGAUUGGGGUGAAGUCGUAACAAGGUAGCCGUAUCGGAAGGUGCGGCUGGAUCACCUCCUUUCUAAGGA
rnacentral:rRNA from 1 species